rnacentral:lncRNA from 1 species
UUUUUUUUUCUUUUUCUUUUUAUUCUAUCUAUGUGAGCUGAUGGAUAUUAACUAAACCUAUUGUGGUGAUCAUUUCACUGUAUAUGUAAAUCAAAUCAUCAUGCUGUACCACCUUAAACUUACUCAAUGAUGUAUGUCAAUUAUUUCUCAAUGAAACUGGAAGAAAUUUUUCCCUAAUAUCCUAGCACAUAAAAUUAACACUAGGAUGUAACUUACCUUGUCUCUAUGAAAAUUUAUAAUCAAAUGCAAUGAGAGGAGUUUCUUCCAGAAAAAAAUAUCAAGUCAAUAAACCACUUUAGGUGAAGUAGGACUUUACCAACCCCAGCUAAUCAGUGAUUACUGAUAUUCUAUCUCAUUUCUAUGAAAGCGAAUUUGUAUCAGGGCAGGGACUGCUGUGAACUCUGUUUCUAUCUGUAGUACCCUAGCAAAUCAGGGCCUCCCAUUGAGUUGUGUUGGUUGAGGAGAACGAUUCAGAUAUAAGGACUCAAUCAACCAUCAGUCUGAGUGCCUGGGGCUUACACUGUAGCUGAAUCCCCAAAUGUGCCCCUCGUGAAUCAUAUUAGUCCCCACAUCAAAGUCAUCUUCUCUAGUUUGAAGCUGUACUUUUGUGGCUGGGUUGGAAGUGAAGCAGCCUCUGGGGAUGUGGACAAACCAGCUGCUAAUUAACCAGGAACUGUCUUGACUAUACAACCACUGAAAACUCUAGAGAGAAGGAAAAAAUACAGAUGUCCCAUGGUACUACAGCAUAGAGAAUUAUAAAUAGGAUAUUGCAAAGUGACAGUAUGGUGCCAGCUACUUGCACUCAAAAGGAUAAAACCUAUUACAGACAUAGUUUAGUUUGGAUUACUCUGAAAAUUAUACUGUUUCAGCUAAUGCAGGCUCUUAUGUUUCCAUUGAAAAUUCACGAUAUUCAACUGAUUGUGGGCCCCCUAAUGGAGAUGAAAGUGAACACAGGAAUACACUAGACAAAGUAGGGACAGGAGGGCAGGGAGGAUGAUGUACCAUGAUCACAAAAAGUACAAGCCUCAGUUCUGGAAAAUAGGCUAGCAAUUGGAGGAAAAAAAAAAUUGUACUUGGCUUUUUCUACUACCUCAAUUUCUUACUUACAAGUAUCAAUGUGAAGGUUAAGGCUACAUGAACUAAUGUAUCUGCUAAGAGGGAUAAGUGUGGCACAGAAAAAAAAAUACACUUCUUCUCAUCCAAUCUCCAUAGCUAAUACAGGGGUAGAAAAUGCUAAAUGCUGAUGGGAAAGAAAUCCUGUGUAUAAUAUCAAUGUACGUUCACAUAAUCAUUGGUGGUCAUCUAUCAUCUUUACUUUUCUCUCACUUUGCAGAGACUCUGAAUUGAAAAAUUAUGAAAAUUAACUUCCCCUCUGUGUCUUUAUAGCUCUUCUGACUGUGUAAGUUCCUCUCUUGGUAGAAGAUGGAUGGAAGAAUGGAACCUUUAUAUAAUCUGCCUUCUUUUAUUUCAGGUUUCUACAAUGAAGUCUCCUGAGAUCUUCACCUCAAAACAGGUGAAUAUUGAAAAAUUUCUUGGGAAUGUAAGGUAAUUUGCAACGUAUAUUAUGCAAUUGUAAAAGUAAAGCUGAGAUAAAUCACAACAUAUUAUUUCCAAGUAAGUGUCAUACCACUAUGUGGAAAAAAAUACAGAUUUACAUAUGCAUAUAUGUAUACAUUUGAAUACUUUAAAAUCCUUCUAAAUAUAUGUAUUUAAAUUUUUAAUAUUUUGCAUUGCCAAAUAAGUGCCAAAAUAUUAAAAACACAUAAAAUAUAAAGGUAAACACAAAAUGGAGAGAAAGACAAAUGACAAAUGCCCAAGUAAAAUAUUACAAUAAGAGCUGACAGAUGAUAUGGGUGUAUGUGAUGUAAUACAUUUUUUUAAAAAAAGACUGGAUAUCUACAUAGCAGUGGACAUGAAAGAGCCUAUGAUGUUGCUAUGAGAAAUAGAAUGAUAUGGUCUUAGAUAUAUAAAUGUUAAAUCUUGAAAAGACUUGAGUCACGAUCUUGGUUACUCCUCCAGCUUUUACGAAAAUUUGAUAUCACUAUAUCCAUUCUAUAGAUGGAGGAAUGAGGUCCAGAGAAAUUCACUGACCUGCUGCCAGCAUCUCUAAGAGCAAAGAACAGUAAAGUUGGAACCAAAAGCAAAAUCUCCUUUCACCUAACACAUUGAAUUGACUUAAAAAACAUUAAUCAGGAAGACUGAAGCUCAAGCAGCUUUCACGAUAGACAGUAUUUAAAUAUAAGAUGAUCAAGGCUCACAAAAGAUCCAUAUGAGACUGCAGUAAGAAAAAGGAUCACGUAAUUAUGUAAAUUAGAGUUUUAUACAUUUUGUCAUGUCUGUCAAACCUAUGUUUGCCAUAAUCAUUAGGCUUAGAGAAUUAACCAGCAUUCUGAGAGAAACAGAGACAGAGCUGGAGGGAAUUGAUCGAAAGUUUUAUAAGUGAUAUUUUUCUUACUAUGUGUUGUGUGCACUCUGAUACCUUCAAUCCUGUGUUUAAAUGCUAGUCUCAACCCACAAAACUGAUUUCUCAAUUGGUCUCCUUGUCAGUGAGAAAACAGUAGUAAUGAAGGGUAGGACCUCUCAAUUUCUUGGACCAAGAAAUGCCCAGGGAUUCAUAGAAAAGAGGAAGGCACUAGUGGGCAUAACAUCAUUUUUGGUGUAGAGGCUGCUGGGAACCUGAUAAAGUAGAAAUGAGAAAGACAAAAGAAUUUGAGUCUUUGAAUAAAUGAAAGAUUACAGUAAGAUUGACAGCCAGUUAGGGUUUAAUUCGUUGCCUUGAUUUAAUCAAUUUUAAGCAUUUCUAAGUUUAACAUUACUAUGAAGAAGUCAAACUAUAAUUUGCUUUCAGUAUUUAUAUAAAACUAUUUUUAGAGUUUAUGAAAAUGAGAGAGAAGAUGAAGAAAAAGAUAGAAUGGAAGAAACAGAGCCGCAGAGAAAGAGAGAGAAUGAGAAAUGGAGAGAGUAAAAGCUCCUGUUUGUGGCAUCCUUUCCAUUUUAAUUAAUUUAAUUUUAAUUCUCUGGGAUUACCAGAAGAGAAAUAUUUAGCUUUAUUCAAAAACAACAGAUCCAAUAAUGAGCCAUGCAGAAUAAAUGAACUGAUUGUUAAAUGGGGCUAUUUUAACUCAUCCAAAAUUACAUAUAGAUGUACCAUUUCACAUAAGUCCAGAUACUAAGGAUGAAGUAAUAGCAUGCAUGCACAUACUUUAUGUGUGGUAGCUGCAGUAUUCAAAAGUAAUUUUUGCUCUCACUGAUUCCCUUAGAGCUUAACUUUUCUGUGAUGUAGGCAGGGAUAAUUUAGAACUUCUGUUGGUUUAAAAAUACUAUUAAAAGUUUAGUCUCAUAAAGUUAAAGCAAUUUAGAAGUUUAGGGAAUAAAAAGUAUAAGUAACUCAAUAUCCCAGGACUAACAACUGUUAAGAGUUUUGCUGUGUAUCCUUCCAGACACACACACAUAUACAUACACACACAGCAUAUAUAUAUAUAGCAUAUAAUUUCUUUUCACUUUUGCAAUCUGUCUUAGACCUUUCCAUGUCUAGAUAUAAAUCUCUAUACCAUUCUAAUGAUAGAUAUAUCAUAAUUUAACCCUUCUCCAUCUGCUUUGUGAAUAUAAAUAAAAAGCCUUUAUGCAUGAAUUUGAACAAAUGUGUAAAUAUUUCCAUACCAUAAUUAAUUCUACAAAGUUCAACUGAUUGCAAAAAAGUAUCAUAUUUAAAGUUUUGAAAUGAUAAGUUGGCCCCCAAAAUGUUUCCAAUAACAUAUUUGAAUGCCCAGUUCCUGAUACCAUUACCAACACUGAGUGACACCAAACUUCCAAAAUCUUCUACCAAUGCUUCGGGAUGAACAAAAGUAACAUAUUAAUUUUUCUUCCUAAACAUAUGUCACAUGUUUAUUGGUCAUUGAAUUUCUUCCAUGAAUUAUGUUUGUGUAUUCCCUGUCCAUGCUAAUACUGAGUUUGGUGAUCUAUAGGAACACUUUCUAUAUUUAUGAUACAUAUUUAUCCAGCAUCUAAUAUAUGUGCUAUAUGUAUUAUCUGUCUACAACAUGUGAAGUUUGCAAUCUUUUCCUUUUGUUUUUUGCAAUCUUCUUCUUUAUGCCUUCUGAAGCAUAUAUUUUGGUGGUAGAAAUAAAAAAAAACAAAAAACAGAUUACAGAUGAGCACAUAGAGACUCCAAGAACUGACUUGUCCAUGGUCGCAUAGGUAUAUAUUGGUGAUUCCGAGAGUCUGACUUUGGUUGGCUGAAGUUUCUCUGGCUAGAGCUCAAACAAACUACAGUAACAAAAAAGCCGUAUGAUAUUUUUGGCAGGCUUUAUUUCAAGGUUCUUGAAUAUAUUAUACAUAUAUAAACAUGCACACAUACCACACACACUAACCAUACACUCUUUUAAAAUUCUUCUUUUACUCUCACACAUAAAAGGCUACUUUCCACAGAUCAUUUUAGCUUCAGAUGAAGUGAAAUUAAGUCUAAAAUCAAUUUUAAUUAAAAUCAGCUCAAAAAACUUGAUAUGGAUUGCCAGUGCUAGAAGGAGAUUUACAGAGUUUUAAGCUAAUAAAUAAAACCUACAGUCUCACUGCAAGAGUGCCUUAGAAAUCCCUCUUGCCUCACAUUAGCCUCACCCUAAAGAGAAUCAUUAGCUAAUGAUAUGUAUGUAAGUGAUUAGUAUAGUUAGAUUUGUUCAUCAAUAAAUGAUAUGAACCAGAGUUUGAACUUCAAGACCAGCAUGCUUAUUAUUUCUGUCAUAUUAAAUCUAUCCUUUACCCAUCCUGUCUUUCCUCAAUAAAUAAACAAUGCUACACCAUCAUCUACAU